rnacentral:rRNA from 1 species
UACAGAGGUCCCGAGCGUUGUCCGGAAUCAUUGGGCGUAAAGAGCUCGUAGGCGGCCUGUCGCGUCUGCUGUGAAAUCCCGGGGCUUAACCCCGGGCGUGCAGUGGAUACGGGCUGGCUGGAGGCAGGCAGGGGAGAACGGAAUUCCCGGUGUAGCGGUGAAAUGCGCAGAUAUCGGGAGGAACACCGGUGGCGAAGGCGGUUCUCUGGGCCUGUACUGACGCUGAGGAGCGAAAGCGUGGGGAGCGAACAGG